rnacentral:rRNA from 1 species
CCUAAGUGGGUGGUAAACUCCAUCUAAGGCUAAAUACAACCACGAGACCGAUAGCACACAAGUACCGUGAGGGAAAGGUGAAAAGAACUUUGAAGAGAGAGUUCAAGAGUACGUGAAACUGAAGUGGUGUAAACGGACGAGAUCGAAAAGUCCGAAUGGGGACAUUCAAGUCCAUCCGUGCUGGUGGCUUUUGGGUACAGAUGGUGCGGACUGCUCGGGCCUCUCGGGGUGCCGGGUUUGCUCCGCAUUCACUCGUCUCAGGAGUAACUGUCCAGUGCGGUGAGCUGCACUUGUCCCCUAGUAGGACGUCGCGACCCGUUGGGAUGUUCCGAUCUUAUGGCCCACGGUGGAGCCCGUGCCCAAGCGUCGUUUCGGCGGCGUUGUGGUGUGCGGACCCGAGGUGACCUGAUUGGCGCUCGACGGUAUCAAAGCUUGGGAAGGAACCGCACAGAGGUUGCGUCCGAUGCCCGUAACGGGCUACACUCGGACAGGUUCGCACCCGGUCAGCGGCGCUACUGCUUUCGAUACUCGUCCGA